UCGUGCACUACUGAUGAUAAAACCAUGAUCCAUCCAAAAAAAGAUUCAAGUAUAUUGGAAGUUGCUGAUCCAGAACAAGAACAUCAGAAGAAAGCUCACAGAGUAUAUGAAUCCAAUUCUGCAUUGAUAGAGAGGAACUGGACUUUAAGCAAUUCACAGUCAACAUCAUAUAUGGAUCUAAAACAAUUCUCGUUAAAUGGGAAAACUCAAGGUGGGAGAAAAAGUCCUUCCCCAGACUUUAGUGACCUUGCAAAACCUGAUAUGUUAUUGCAGAAGAAUAUAGGCUAAUUAAAAUUUUCAUCAUGCACAUAAAGCUACAAAGGGUGACACAUCAUAAAUCAUUGAGGGGACAAGAACAACCAAACAGACACCCAUGAGUUCAUCAUUAUUCCUUUUUCAAUGACUAUUUAACUCAUGAUUAUGAUUAGGUAUAAUGACAUAUCAAACAAUAGAUAAUAUCAAAGGUUGUAACAUAAGGAACUGUCAAAACAUACAAACAUUUUAAUGGAAUUACAUGAAAACAGAUAUUCUAACUGCUGUGUGUCUUUUUUGUUUUGGCAAGGUCCACUGUUGUGCAAUAUGAACAUGGGCAACCCAUCUUAAAAGGAGACUGAGUUACACUCCAACUAAAUAUAUAAAAAACUUACCAGUUCAGAUUCACUACUCAUGAAGAAUUGUGAGAAUUUAAUUGAUCCAGACAAUUACUGAUCACGUAUUCGUCGUGCACUACUAAUGAUGAAACCAUGAUCCAUCCAAAAAAAGAUUCAAGUAUAUAGGAAGUUGCAGAUCCAGAACAAGAACAUCAGAAGAAAGCUCACAGAGUAUAUGAAUCCAAUUCUGCAUUGAUAGAGAGGAACUGGACUUUAAGCAAUUCACAGUCAACAUCAUAUAUGGAUCUAAAACAACUCUCGUUAAAUGGGAAAACUGAAAGUGGGCGACAGAGUCUCUUCCCCAGACUUUAGUGACCUUGCAAAAC
rnacentral:lncRNA from 1 species